AUCCUUACCUGGCAGGGGAGAUUCCUUGAUCAUGAAGGAGGUUUUCCCAGGGUGAGGCUCCUCCACUGCGCUGACCCCUGCGAUUUCCCCAAAUGUGGGAAACUCGACUGCCUUUAUUUGUGGGGAGUGGUGAAAGGGUAUGGCUGAGCUCUUC